UGAAUGUCCUAGGGGGUAUUGCACUUACCGAAGACUAUCAAACUCCGAAUGCCGUUUUCUUUUACUUGGGAGUCAGACUGUGGGUGAUAAGAUUCAUAGUCAAAAGGGCAACAGCCCAGAUCGUCAGCUAAGGUCCCUAAAUGUACGUUAAGUGGUAAAGGAUGUGGGAUUGCACAGACAACCAGGAUGUUGGCUUAGAAGCAGCCACUCAUUUAAAGAGUGCGUAAUAGCUCACUGGUCGAGUGAUCCUGCGCCGAAAAUUUCCGGGGCUAAAACGUACUACCGAAGCUACGGCAUCAUUUAUGAUGGGUAGGGGAGCUUCGUAUGCAGGCUGAAGCAUGACCGUAAGGACAUGUGGACAGUAUACGAGUGAGAAUGUUGGCAUGAGUAGCGAGACGUGGGUGAGAAUCCCACGGGCCGUAAACCCAAGGUUUCCAGGGGAAGGUUCGUCCGCCCUGGGUUAGUCGGGACCUAAGCCGAGGCCGAAAGGCGUAGGUGAUGGACAACAGGUUGAUAUUCCUGUACCGCCAAUAAGCGUUUGAGAGAUGGAGUGACACAGUAGGAUAAGCUAACCGUACUGUUGGUUAUGUACGGCUAAGCAUUGAGGCAGUCUAAAUAGGCAAAUCCGUUUAGACAAUGCUAGGAUGUGAUGGGGAAGCCCUUCGGGGCGAAGUAGCUGAUUUCACACUGUCAAGAAAAGCUUCUAUCGAGUUUAAAGGCGCCCGUACCGUAAACCGACACAGGUGGGUGAGGAGAGUAUCCUAAGGCCAGCGAGAGAACUAUUGUUAAGGAACUCGGCAAAAUGACCCCGUAACUUAGGGAGAAGGGGUGCCUGUCUAUGACAGGCCGCAGAGAAUAGGCCCAAGCGACUGUUUACCAAAAACACAGGUUUCUGCUAAGUCGCAAGACGAUGUAUAGGAGCUGACGCCUGCCCGGUGCUGGAAGGUUAAGGGGAUCUGUUAGAGCAAUCGAAGCAGUGAACUUAAGCCCCAGUAAACGGCGGCCGUAACUAUAACGGUCCUAAGGUAGCGAAAUUCCUUGUCGGGUAAGUUCCGACCCGCACGAAAGGCGUAACGAUUUGGGCACUGUCUCAACAACAGACUCGGUGAAAUUGUAAUCCCGGUGAAGAUGCCGGGUACCUGCGACAGGACGGAAAGACCCCAUGGAGCUUUACUGUAGCUUGACGUUGGGUCUUGGUACUACAUGUACAGGAUAGGUGGGAGACUAUGAAGCAUGGACGCCAGUCUGUGUGGAGUCAUCCUUGGGAUACCACCCUUGUAGUACUGGGAUCCUAACCAUAGGCCUUGAAUCAGGUCUUGGAACACCGUCAGGUGGGCAGUUUGACUGGGGCGGUCGCCUCCUAAAAAGUAACGGAGGCGCUCAAAGGUUUCCUCAGCACGGUCGGAAAUCGUGCGAAGAGUGUAAAGGCAAAAGGAAGCUUGAUUGCAAGACAUACAGGUCGAGCAAGGACGAAAGUCGGACUUAGUGAUCCGGUGGUUCCGCAUGGAAGGGCCAUCGCUCAACGGAUAAAAGCUACCCUGGGGAUAACAGGCUUAUCUCCCCCAAGAGUCCACAUCGACGGGGAGGUUUGGCACCUCGAUGUCGGCUCAUCACAUCCUGGGGCUGUAGUAGGUCCCAAGGGUUGGGCUGUUCGCCCAUUAAAGUGGUACGCGAGCUGGGUUCAGAACGUCGUGAGACAGUUCGGUCCCUAUCCGUCGCAGGCGUAGGAAAUUUGAGAAGACCUGUCCUUAGUACGAGAGGACCGGGAUGGACGUACCUCUGGUGUACCAGUUGUUCUGCCAAGGGCAUGGCUGGGUAGCUAUGUACGGAAUGGAUAAGCGCUGAAAGCAUCUAAGCGCGAAGCCAACUUCAAGAUAAGAUUUCCCACCGUAAGGGUAAGACCCCAGGAAGACUACCUGGUUGA
rnacentral:rRNA from 1 species